GCUGGCGACCGGCGCACGGGUGAGUAACACGUAUCCAACCUGCCGAUAACUCGGGGAUAGCCUUUCGAAAGAAAGAUUAAUACCCGAUGGUAUAAUCAGACCGCAUGGUCUUGUUAUUAAAGAAUUUCGGUUAUCGAUGGGGAUGCGUUCCAUUAGGCAGUUGGUGAGGUAACGGCUCACCAAACCUUCGAUGGAUAGGGGUUCUGAGAGGAAGGUCCCCCACAUUGGAACUGAGACACGGUCCAA
rnacentral:rRNA from 1 species